rnacentral:rRNA from 1 species
GACGAACGCUGGCGGCGUGCUUAACACAUGCAAGUCGAGCGGUAAGGCCCCUUCGGGGGUACACGAGCGGCGAACGGGUGAGUAACACGUGAGCAAUCUGCCCAUCACAUCGGGAUAACUCCGGGAAACCGAAGCUAAUACCGAAUACGACCACCUCCGGCAUCGGAUGGUGGUGGAAAGUUCCGGCGGUGAUGGAUGAGCUCGCGGCCUAUCAGCUUGUUGGUGGGGUAACGGCCCACCAAGGCUUCGACGGGUAGCCGGCCUGAGAGGGUGACCGGCCACACUGGGACUGAGACACGGCCCAGACUCCUACGGGAGGCAGCAGUGGGGAAUAUUGGACAAUGGGCGAAAGCCUGAUCCAGCAACGCCGCGUGGGGGAUGACGGCCUUCGGGUUGUAAACCUCUUUCAGCAGGGACGAAGCGCAAGUGACGGUACCUGCAGAAGAAGCACCGGCCAACUACGUG